CCACAGAGGCUACAGCUGGUGUCCCUUAGAGAGCAGUGCUGGAGCAGAGCAGCAAGUUGUGACUCAGAACACACCAAAGUGCAAUUCUUUGUUCCCUGGUUGCUCCUCACACACUGCACUCGCUGUCACAGCAGCCCAAGCACAGCCACACACAGAGCUACACUGCAGAGGGCAGCUACAGCCUGGACACGCACACAGACAGGAGAGGAAACUGAAGUAGGAAUACAAUCCAAACAAAUUCUGGACAGGCAUUACCUGAAUCAAACCUGAAUCAUUACAUGGCUAUCAUUAACUGAAUCAUUACCUGGCUAUCAAACAAUCCCAACCAGGAUGCCGGGUCAGUUCCUAUGAAGAACAAUAAAUAACAACUCUCUGCUCUUAGGACUUUAGUUUCAUGUAUUUGGGAAUCACCAACUGUGACACAUUUACUGAAGGAAAUGUAACAAAACCUCCAAAAUACCAAAGCACUAUUUUGUCCCUUUUAAUAUCCCUGAUUUAUAUUACUGCAAUUAUUUCUAACACAAUUAGUUUAGUGUGCGUGCCAUUAACUCAAUGACAGAGCAGCAAGCAUCAAAGUUUUCCCCCUUUCUGCCUUCUAGACAAGUCAGCCCUCCAAAGUCCCUUAGAUUUCUCUUGCUACACUUAAGAUUUCUGUCAACCAAAUUCUAGAAGCAGAAGACAACAAACAGUACAUCCUCAAACAUCCAUCACCUACAGAAAAGCUCUCAAGCAGAUCAAUCACAAACUCACGAGGAAGAUAUUUGUGUAGCACUGUAUAGAUUAACCUAGUUCUAUUUUAGGUUACUCCAGCCACUCCUGGCUGCGACAACAAAGCGCCUUCUCUGCAAUCACGUUUUUAACCCCUCAAAAAAGAAAAAAAAUAUUAAAUGAAGCCGACUUUUGAAACACAUUCCUCCCACUCCCCUACCCCAAAAGCCUUCAGAGCAAGCUGGAACCUUGGCACCUCGUGCCUGAACGGAGUCAUACUGCACCGGCCGGGUGGCAGGGGCCGUAGCUAUGCUGGCCGCCUCUCCCCAGGCAACUGGAAACACCGCCUGAUCCUCAGCGUGGGAAGAUCUGAGACGCGAGAUUAGCGGAGAAGGAACUCCAACCACACAACAGCGUCUGCCCCGGCUACUGCCGCGCUAAAACACGCGCUCUGCUCCCCACAGCGUGUGGCUGCGGAGGUAACAUCUCUGGGAGGACAAUGGGUGAGGAGGAGUGUCUGCAGGACAGGCUGACACGGCCGAAGCCCGCACCGGACCCGGGCCGGCAGGGCACGGGCGCUGGGUGUGGGUGAGCGCGGCUCGGCCCGCGGAGCCGCUCAGCCGGAACCGGCUGAGGACACGGGGGCAUCUCCCCGCUACAGGGCACUUCCUGACGGCCAGAAAUACGCACAAACGCCCCCAAGACCUAAAAGCGCCAACAACAAGGCAGGAUUUACCCUCGCUUAUACAGCAUGAUUUCAAGGCCGGUGUCCGGCGGGUGACAUGUCAAGUAAAAGAUCUUGCUGGCCAAACAGAAGAAAGCUAAAUGUCCUUCCAGCUGUCAGACUCUGAUCCUCUGUGUACUGAGCACUAGCCUGGGGCCACCCUUCAUCCCACUGCAGUUGGUUCUUUACAACUUGACCCCAGAUGCUCAGCCACAGAGAGUUUUUGUAGUAUGAAACAUCAGGACAACAAGCAGCAAACAUGGUACCUGCAGUGCCCAAAAAGGCUCCCUGUGGGCAUCUGUACUUCCAAAAUCUUUGCUGUUGCUCGUGGGUAUAUCCAGGAACUCCCCAAAAUGCUGCAUGCCAGUACUGCAGACAACCCACAGAUUCACACCAGUCUAAGCAGACAUCAAAAACCAUCAGAAAUGUUUAAACUUAACCAGCUGACUCCCAGAGGAAACUCCAGGACUCAAAAUGAAACCCUACAAGCACUCAAAUACUUUGGGCAUCUUGGUGGCCAGCAUGAGUUCACAAGAACCCCAGGUCACUGAGGGAGGAGCCAUCUCUGCUUGGCAGUAAGAAAUACUGGGAAUAGGGAAGCCUAAAUUCCCAGUACAGGAACUGGAUGAACCAUCAGGUGAGACUGUGCAGUGUGUGGGCAGGGUUUACCAUGCUUCUCCUUGCUCUUCUGUGACUGAAUAAAGCCAGCCAGGCACAGGUAUUGUUUCUCUCAAGCAGCCAGGCAUAACCCAGACUUGUUUACCUGCCUAGCACCACAUCAAUUACAUCCAGUGAGCUGGUGAUAUAUAAUCCAGCAUUCAGGCUAUUGGCAUCAUCUGGUUAGUCUAUGUGUUUUGAUUAUUAAACACUGCAAAAGAAAAGUAUCUAAAAUUUUCAUGCAGUCAUAGGACUGCUCCUGCCUUUACACACAACAUUGAAAUAUUCAUGGCAUUUAUAAUUUUAAAUGGAUUUGCAUUGCAAGUAACAACUUGGUGUUAACAUUUUUAAUCUUGUAAAUUGGAAGAAAAUAGGUCCAAUUUGAAAAUUAGCUAGUAUUUUAGUGUUUCCCCUGUUUUUCUAAUUAACAUUAAAAAAGUUAUUGAACAAACAUUUAUUUAGACUUUGGUUCAUUCAAGUGUCUACUAGUACUACCUCAUAUUUUUUUUUUUCUAAUUGGCUGCUCUUUAUGGUAAAACUUAAAUACUGUCUUCCUAAAUUCUGAAUGAGAGGCAAGUGUAAAAGAAUAAGAUUGAAAAGAAACAGAAAAAAUGCACCAGAACACUCUGCAUAGUUGUUACAGUUAACAACAGCAGAAAUGGUUAGGGAAGGAAAUGAGCUUGUGAUCCCACAUUUUGCACACCUGUAUCCAUGUGAGAUCACACUUCUAUAUUUAUGGUUUGUCUGACCCACUCUACCUCUGUUCAGCCCCUCCUGCCUACCCUGCCUGGGGAGCUGCAGACUUGCCUGUUUCCGCAGCCUGCUUGCUGCUGGCCUGUAUUGGCUGCAGUGCUCAAACUGGGGACAAGCAUUCUCAAAGCAUCCCGUUCUUUCUGCUGCACUCUCUUUCAACUUUAUAAAAUUCUAUUUUCAAAUGCAGCUCGUACCUUAUCCCUUCUAUUUUACAGCUUACCUUUGCACAGAACCAUCUACUUCUCCAUGCUGGUGUCUGCAUUGGCAAGGGCUGUGGGCUCCACAGUACUGAAGAGGGUUAGGCAUUAACAUGCAUAGUGAAAACAUAGCAGAGCAUUAAAAAAUGUGAAUGAUAAAUACAAACCUUUGUGCUUAAAGGUAUGAGUGAUAAGGAUAGAAAGACUGUUAUUAUUGCCAGUAGAGAUUUCAAUUCUCCAAACCAUCUGUUUUUGGUGAUUGUUGGUAGCAGGAUGUAAGGCUUACAUCAAACACAGGUUCAGACAGGUUCCAGCACUGCUCAGUUCCUCAGAUCCUAGAGUCUCAAGACCCAAAAAGUAAAAAAACCCAAUAAUAAGAGCCGACAAUUAAAUAAUUAUUCCAAAUAUAUAAAUAUUUUGCCUUUUUAUGUCUAUUUUUAUUCUGAGACCCUUCUCAAACUAUGUAUGUGAAUGAGAAUUAGUGGUGACAGAAUUUUUAAUAAAGACAGUGUUGACACAGGUACUGCAGGAGCUCUGACUGAUACUCAGCAAUUACUUCUGCCCAUCCAAUCUCCAAAUCAAUCCAAUUUACUCCCAUCAGCUCUGCAAUCAGUUCUCCCACUAGCCUUUUACACUUCCCCCUAUCAAUGUGCCUGCUGUUUCCUUUUCUUUGCAGGGAGGCUGCAGGUACAGCCAGGAUGCUUUAUUUCCCUCAUUCUGAAUGAAGGGAGUGAUAGAUACAUUAAUUUUUCUUUAUCUCUUGACCAUUUCAAUAGUUUUUCCAAAACUUAUAUUUUUAGAGUUUUCUUUUUGCCUGUUUCAGAUAGUUGUUUACCCACGAACAAAAAUAACUUCCUGUGACAGAUGUGCCUUCUGGGUGGUUAGAAACAGAUUAACAGCAUGUUUCAGGAUGCACACCUAUGGCAUGGAGAAUUACACUGAAUUAGGAAGUGUCUUAUAGACAUAGUGUCUUUCCUAUGAAAACCAUGAAAAAUCAGACUCUAUUAUAACUCUUCAAUUUCUAUGCAGAGUUAUUUUACAUUUUACAGUAAGAUUUUACCCUUCAGAAUUUUACAACUUUGCACAAAAGACUCUGUCAAAUGUGCAACAACUGCAGAGUAACUUACUUAAAAUAUAGAUUCUAGACAAGCUUUAAUCACAAAAUUUAUACAUCAGGUCUAGGCUAGAAGGCAAGUGUGAAUAAAUCUCUUGGAAGUUGGAGGUACAGCAGAAACUCAGCAUCAAGCAUGGUUUUGACCCUGCAAUAUCAGACCACAAGGACAAUUAAGUUAAUUAAUACAAGCCUUUAUGGGCUCUCAUGCUGGUUCUUCCAGUCAGUCUGGGCGAGCAACCCUCACUUUGUCAUUACUUGAUGUUGAAAUGGUGAAAGUAGUAUUUAAGCCAGCUUUUAUAUCCAGUGCACUUAUAUACAUACAUGUGAAUGUGUAUCCAUGCAUGCACACACACACUUAUCUAAGCAUACUUUCAAGGAUUUCAAGGAAUGAAAGACCAAUCCAGCUGUCAAGAAAAAUACACUUCUCAUUGGGGGAACCUGGCUAUCAUGUUUUGCUUCUCUCAUUUUUAUUUUAUUAUUUAAUGCAGGAUUGCAAGGUGUUAAAUACGAGUUACAGCAAAUAGCAUAGAUAGAAAGCAAGCUUGCCCUCACCAAAACCUAGAAGUAGUUUCACUGAAAAGUCUAAUCUUAGGAUGUCACAUUGUAUGUCCCACUGAUGUGUGGCCUCACAGCAUGACACAAAACUUAAAGCAGAAUCAGAGAGUUGGGUUUAUAGAAGGGGCAUUCCGUGAAGAGAGAGGAGACAGAAGCCGAGGCCCAUAGCUUCUCUCAUCUCCAAGCUUUUUAAACUUCCUACAACCAGUAACUCAAUAAAACCCCUUAAAAAACAGUGCUUGUAACAGGACCCACUUUAAAUAAAUUCUUUCAGUUUUGAUGCCCAAUCUCUCUUGCAAGCAGGACCAGUCGUUCCUUUCAAAGCAGCAUUAUUUUAAGAACCUUUUCAUCCCUUUAUAAUAUAAAACUGUCAGGAGCAUUCCUCUGUUUGGUUUAUUGAGGAGUCUGUCUUUCUAGUCAUGUGAACACGAAGUCCUUCUCUACAGAAUUACAAAAAUAACCUGUAAACAAGUAUUUCAUUUGUACCUCCCUGUUGUCAUCGCAUUUUCCUUCCCUGUGCCUGUAAGUUUCUAAGGCAGAAUAGCUAUUUAAUGAUCAAACAAACUAACUGGCAUUGUUCAUUGCUAGAAGAAAAGCACAUCAAUAAAACAAGAAAUAGUUCAGUGAUAAUAGACCAGGUGCCACAGUUUGCAAAGUAAUUACCUGUGGAUACCAGGGGACUGCAGCUGAAAAGAACUAGAUACCCUUUCUGCUAUUACUGACAAAUAGAAGACAGUACCUGGUCUCAAUUUAACAGCUGGAAUUACAUGAGUAAAUGUAAUAAAAAAUACUCUACUCUGAAAAUUGCACUUGACAGCUGCCUGUUUG